AUACGGAGGAUGCGAGCGUUAUUCGGAUUUAUUGGGCUUAAAGGGUGCGCAGGCGGCGAGUCAAGUCAGCGGUCAAAAUUCGGCGCUCAACGCCGUACCGCCGUUGAAACUGGCGCGCUCGAGUUUGUGCGAGGAUGGCGGAAUGCGCGGUGUAGCGGUGAAAUGCAUAGAUAUCAUGAAGAACCCCGAUUGCGAAGGCAGUGCACGAGCCCUUUACUGACGCUAAAGCUCGAAGGUGCGGGUAUCGAACAGGAUUAGAUACCCUGGUAGUCCGCACGGUAAACGAUGGAUGCCCGCUGUUGGCGAUAUACAGUCAGUGGCCAAGCGAAAGCGUUAAGCAUCCCGCCUGGGGAGUACGCCGGCAACGGUGAAACUCAAAUGAAUUGACGGGG
rnacentral:rRNA from 1 species